AGAGUUUGAUCAUGGCUCAGGACGAACGCUGGCGGCGUGCUUAACACAUGCAAGUCGAACGAGGUGCUUGCACCUAGUGGCGAACGGGUGAGUAACACGUGAGCAACCUGCCCUUGGCUCUGGGAUAGCCUCCGGAAACGGGGAUUAAUACCGGACAUGACUUCAGUCUGCAUGGACUGGGGUGGAAAGUUUUUCGGCCA
rnacentral:rRNA from 1 species